rnacentral:rRNA from 1 species
CAGUCGCCGCGGAAUACGUAGGUGGCAAGCGUUGUCCGGAAUUAUUGGGCGUAAAGGGCUCGCAGGCGGUUUCUUAAGUCUGAUGUGAAAGCCCCCGGCUCAACCGGGGAGGGUCAUUGGAAACUGGGAAACUUGAGUGCAGAAGAGGAGAGUGGAAUUCCACGUGUAGCGGUGAAAUGCGUAGAGAUGUGGAGGAACACCAGUGGCGAAGGCGACUCUCUGGUCUGUAACUGACGCUGAGGAGCGAAAGCGUGGGGAGCGAACAGGAUUAGAUACCCCGGUAGUCCCUGUCUCUUAUACA